AAAAGGAAUUGAAAAAGGGAAUGAAAAAGGGAUUGAAAAAGGGAUUGAAAAAGAGGGAAAUGGUAGUGUGAAGGUUGAAGCGGAUGA
rnacentral:rRNA from 1 species